UACGUAGGGGGCAAGCGUUGUCCGGAUUUACUGGGCGUAAAGAGCGUGUAGGCGGCCACGCAGGUCCGUUGUGAAAACUGGAGGCUCAACCUCCAGACGUCGACGGAAACCGUAUGGCUAGAGUCCGGAAGAGGAGAGUGGAAUUCCUGGUGUAGCGGUGAAAUGCGCAGAUAUCAGGAAGAACCCCAAUGGCGAAGGCAGCUCUCUGGGACGGUACUGACGCUGAGACGCGAAAGCGUGGGGAGCGAACAGG
rnacentral:rRNA from 1 species